rnacentral:rRNA from 1 species
AUGAACGCUGGCGGCGUGCCUAAUACAUGCAAGUCGAGCGAACAGACGAGGAGCUUGCUCCUCUGACGUUAGCGGCGGACGGGUGAGUAACACGUGGAUAACCUACCUAUAAGACUGGGAUAACUUCGGGAAACCGGAGCUAAUACCGGAUAACAUGUUGAACCGCAUGGCUCAACAGUGAAAGACGGUCUUGCUGUCACUUAUAGAUGGAUCCGCGCCGCAUUAGCUAGUUGGUAAGGUAACGGCUUACCAAGGCAACGAUGCGUAGCCGACCUGAGAGGGUGAUCGGCCACACUGGAACUGAGACCCGGUCCAGACUCCUACGGGAGGCAGCAGUAGGGAAUCUUCCGCAAUGGGCGAAAGCCUGACGGAGCAACGCCGCGUGAGUGAAGAAGGUCUUCGGAUCGUAAAACUCUGUUAUUAGGGAAGAACAAAUGUGUAAGUAACUAUGCACGUCCUGACGGUACCUAAUCAGAAAGCCACGGCUAACUACGU